GGAGGAUUAGCUCAGCUGGGAGAGCAUCUGCCUUACAAGCAGGAGGUCACAGGUUCGAUCCCUGUAUCCUCCA
rfam:Lactobacillus ginsenosidimutans strain EMML 3041, complete genome.